rnacentral:misc_RNA from 1 species
AAUUCUCAACCUCUCUAGCUUUGCUAGUAAGAUGGCUUGGAUGUGGGGGUUAUUUUUGCAGGCUUUCACAAGUCAGCUCCCCUGAAAUGCAUUAGCCGGUACUCUCUGACCGUCUAUUGGUGUGAUAAUUAUCUACGCCGUGGACUGAAGAAAUUGUACUGCUUAUAAUCGUUCUGUAUAGAACAAUUCAUGACA